UACGUAGGGGGCGAGCGUUUGUCCGGAGUUACUGGGCGUAAAGCGCACGCAGGCGGUCUGCUAAGUUUGGAGUGACAGUUGGUGGCUUAACUGCCAAAGUGCUUCGAAAACUGACAGACUUGAGGGCUUCAGAGGGACACGGAAUUCCGGGUGGAGUGGUGAAAUGCGUAGAGAUCCGGAGGAACACCAAAGGCGAAGGCAGUGUCCUGGGGAGUACCUGACGCUCGAGG
rnacentral:rRNA from 1 species